CCGCCCGUCACAUCACGAAAGUGGAUUGUACUAGAAGUCUGCAGGCUAACCCGCAAGGGAGGCAGCGGCCCAAGGUGUGAUUCAUGAUUGGGGUG
rnacentral:rRNA from 1 species